CCGUGUUGCAGGUUAUGUUUAGUGCGUGGAAGAGCCGCGCGCGGCGCUUUCGGCGGCCGGCGAUGGGCGACUGAAUGCGCGCUGGGCGGCGACACGAGCCCAGCUACACCUCGCCAAAAUAAAACAUUCUGUCUCCUUCCUAAAUAAUUCGACCCUUCAGUGUGGCCGAGAUGGCGAUAGCAUUUGCAUUGACAAUCUAAAUGUUUAUUCAGUAUGCUAAUCACGUAAGAUCGCGGAGUUCAACAGGAAUUAAGAAAUGUUCAAAAUAUAUUUACGAUUUUAACGCAAAGAAAUACGAUCUAAGUUCGUAUGAAGUACAUGAAGACUACAAUAAAGUGAUUCCAUUUGAAAACGAUAUAGCAAUGCUUUUCGUUAAGAAGCCGAUCAAGUUCAAUAAAUUGGCAAAGAAAGGGAUUCUCGUCAAUCACAACAAAUGGAUGAAUCCUAAAGAGACGGAAUUCAUUGUAACUGGUUGG
rnacentral:misc_RNA from 1 species